AUUGAACGCUGGCGGCAUGCUUUACACAUGCAAGUCGAACGAGUGGCGCACGGGUGAGUAAUACAUCGGAACGUGUCCUAUCGUAGGGGAUAACUGAUCGAAAGAUCAGCUAAUACCGCAUACGAUUGGAGCGGCCGAUGCCCGAUUAGCUAGUUGGUGAGGUAAAGGCUCACCAAGGCGACGAUCGGUAGCUGGUCUGAGAGGACGACCAGCCACACUGGGACUGAGACACGGCCCAGACUCCUACGGGAGGCAGCAGUGGGGAAUAUUGCACAAUGGGCGCAAGCCUGAUGCAGCCAUGCCGCGUGUGUGAAGAAGGCCUUCGGGUUGUAAAGCACUUUCAGCGAGGAGGCGUUACUCGCAGAAGAAGCACCGGCUAACUCCGUGCCAGCAGCCGCGGUAAUUC
rnacentral:rRNA from 1 species